CCCAGUCGGCAGGAGGCAGUCCCAGUCGGCAGGUGGCAGUCCCAGUCAGCAGGAGGCAGUCCCAGUAGGCAGGAGGCAGGCCCAGUCGGCAGGAGGCAGUCCCAGUCGGCAGGAGGCAGGCCCAGUCGGCAGGUGGCAGGCCCAGUAGGCAGGAGGCAGGCCCAGUCGGCAGGUGGCAGGCCCAGUUGGCAGGAGGCAGCCCCAGUCGGCAGUCCCAGUAGGCAGGAGGCAGUCCCAGUCGGCAGGAGGCAGUCCCAGUCGGCAGGAGGCAGUCCCAGUCGG